rnacentral:rRNA from 1 species
UAGGAAUCUUCGGCAAUGGACGAAAGUCUGACCGAGCAACGCCGCGUGAGUGAAGAAGGGUUUCGGAUCGUAAAACUCUGUUGUUAGAGAAGAACAAGGACGUUAGUAACUGAACGUCCCCUGACGGUAUCUAACCAGAAAGCCACGGCUAACUACGUGCCAGCAGCCGCGGUAAUACGUAGGUGGCAAGCGUUGUCCGGAUUUAUUGGGCGUAAAGCGAGCGCAGGCGGUUUCUUAAGUCUGAUGUGAAAGCCCCCGGCUCAACCGGGGAGGGUCAUUGGAAACUGGGAGACUUGAGUGCAGAAGAGGAGAGUGGAAUUCCAUGUGUAGCGGUGAAAUGCGUAGAUAUAUGGAGGAACACCAGUGGCGAAGGCGGCUCUCUGGUCUGUAACUGACGCUGAGGCUCGAAAGCGUGGGGAGCAAACAGG